GAGAAAUGUUAGGUUGUAAACCAGAGCACCCCACCCCAGACUACAAUGUUCCACAGUUUUUAAAGAGGUCCUGCCACCUCAGCAGUUCAGCCAGACUCCAGAAGGAGCCUGGGACUUUGAACUGUCAUGGACUGGUCAAAGAGGAUGUGUUUCUGUGAUGAACGUAUGGUGGAUAUCAUGGACAGGACCAACAAGCAGGUCUGUGUAAUGAUGUGAUCCCAGGAUCUCUGUGCUUGUGCCUUGAUCCAGAAGUGCCUGUCUACAGAGGGGACAUCAGCAGCUAGCCCGAGAGUUGGGAGCAGUAUCAGCCAGUUCAAGUCUGCCAUGUCCGUAUUCCUUCUUCUCCUACAACAGGUGCUUAAGAUAUUUAUUCAGAUUGACUUGGUAGCUGUGAGGUGAGAAAAUGGAGAAUAUGGAAGAUAUGAUUCAAGGUGAGGUCGUUGAGGCAGACAAGAAAAGCUGUGGUCUGAAUGUAGUUGGUGCCUGUCAUGGUGGCAACCCUAGGACCCGCUGAUGGACUCCAAUGGUGAGGGAAGCUGUCAAGUUGAAGAAGGAGUCCUUCCGAGCAAUGCUCACGAACUGGACUUCUGAUAUGGCUGAGAGGAUAUCAAGGCACAGCCGAGUUGUGGAGUUCAUCUGGUAUGGGGACUCAGACAUGGUGUCUCUGCUGUUUGCAGAUGAUGUCCUUCUUGCUUCUUCAGACUGUGAUCUCUGAUAUGCACUCAAACUUUUUGCAACUGAGUGUGAAACGGCUAGGAUGAGACUCAGCAGCUCCAAAUCAGAGGUCAUGGUCCUGUCCUGGAAUAAAGUGGACUGGUCUCUCCAGGUGAGGGAGGACCAGCUGCCCGUAGUGGAUGAGUUCAAGUAUCUAGGGGUCUUGUUCACAAGUUAUGGCAAGCGGCAGUGGCAGUGAUGUGGGCGCUGUACCAAUCCAUAGUGGUGAAGCAGGAGCUGAGAUCUCAGAUGAAGGUCUCGGUUUUCAGGUCAGUCUAUGUCCCCAUCCUUACCUAUGGUCAUGAACUGUGGGUAAUGAUCAAAAGGACGAGAUUGAGGGUACAAGCAGCGGAAAUGAGGUUUCUCUGCAGGGUGCCUGGGCUUACUCUCCGAGACGGGGUGAGGAGCUCGGCUAUGUGGGAAGGCCUCAGAGUAGACCAACUACUCCUCUGGAUCAAAAGGAGCCAGUUGAGGUGGCUUGGGCACCUGAUAAAGAUGCCCCCUGGGAGGCUUCCAUUGGAACUAUACUGGGCACAUCUCACUGGGUGGAGUCCCCUGAUGCUGACUCAGGACACGCUGGAGGGAUUAUAUCUCCCGGCUGGCCUGGGAAUGCUGGAGAAUCCCCUGGGAGGAACUGGGACCUGUUGUGGAGGAAAAGGAGGUCUGGUCCUCCCUACUCACCAGGAAAAGUGGCAUAAAGGAAAAAAGAAGAUGAUGAUGCACAUUUUACAUUAUAGUUAUCAGAAUACUUUACCUGGACAUGUUCUGAUACAUUUUGGUUCUUAAAUUGAAAAGCAGGCAGUGCAAAAACAUAUAAAAUGAACUGAGACAAAUUCUGCUCUCAUUAAAACUGAUGCACUUCCUCUGGUGUAAAUCAGAGCAAAAUUUAGCCCUACAAAUAUAUCUUUAAAGACUAAUCAGGUAAAUUUAUUUAAUAAUAUCAAGACUCAUUUGGAAAGUGCACAAUCCAUAAUUAGCUUCCUUUUUCAAAAAGGUUGUUAAAAAUGUAGUUUCAGAGCAGAUUACAGUUCACUUCUGGUUUAUGUGUGCAUGAAAUAAGUGAUUUGCGCUACAGUGCAGUUUUAGAGAUUACCCAAAAAUGAACAUUA